rnacentral:snoRNA from 1 species
UCGGAUGAAAAUCAUCCUGGGCGGAGAUAUGAUGAUGAAGUGAUGAACCAAUG